rnacentral:sRNA from 1 species
GAGAGCUGGGGCGGCGCCGCUCUCCGCCGCAGAAAACCCUGAGCUCGGCGCGCCGAGAGUCCCAGCAGGGCAAGGGGGCGCGGCGUCCUGGUCCUCGAGCUUGGGAGACAGAUGCUUAUGGGCAUGGGGGCAUGAGGACCUAAGCUCGGGUGAAGCUCUCGGGAAGGGCAAGACUGCGGCGACGAGAUGCGAGCAGAGGAGCCCUGCGCCCCCGGGGCCCCCAGCGCCCCGGGAGCCCAGCGCGCGCAGGGCCCUGAGCUGCGCCUGUCCAGCCAGCUACUGCCGGAGCUCUGUACCUUCGUGGUGCGCGUGCUGUUCUACCUGGGGCCUGUCUACCUAGCUGGCUACCUGGGGCUCAGCAUAACCUGGUUGCUGCUCGGCGCCCUGCUGUGGAUGUGGUGGCGCAGGAACCGCCGCGGGAAGCUCGGGCGCCUGGCCGCCGCCUUCGAAUUCCUUGACAAUGAACGCGAGUUCAUCAGCCGCGAGCUGCGGGGCCAGCACCUGCCAGCCUGGAUCCACUUCCCGGACGUGGAGCGGGUCGAGUGGGCCAACAAGAUCAUCUCUCAGACCUGGCCCUACCUAAGCAUGAUCAUGGAAAGCAAGUUCCGGGAGAAACUUGAGCCCAAGAUCCGAGAGAAGAGCAUCCACCUGAGGACCUUUACCUUUACCAAGCUCUACUUUGGACAGAAGUGUCCCAGGGUCAAUGGUGUCAAGGCACACACUAACACGUGCAACCGAAGACGUGUGACUGUGGACCUGCAGAUCUGCUACAUCGGGGACUGUGAGAUCAGUGUGGAGCUGCAGAAGAUUCAGGCUGGUGUGAACGGGAUCCAGUUGCAGGGCACCCUGCGGGUCAUCCUGGAGCCCCUCCUAGUGGACAAGCCCUUCGUGGGAGCCGUGACUGUGUUCUUCCUUCAGAAGCCGCACCUACAGAUCAACUGGACUGGCCUGACCAACCUGCUAGAUGCGCCGGGAAUCAAUGACGUGUCAGACAGCCUGCUGGAGGACCUCAUUGCCGCCCACCUGGUGCUGCCCAACCGUGUGACUGUGCCUGUGAAGAAGGGGCUGGAUCUGACCAACCUGCGCUUCCCUCUGCCCUGUGGGGUGAUCAGAGUGCACUUGCUGGAGGCAGAGAAGCUGGCCCAGAAGGACAAUUUUCUGGGGCUCCGAGGCAAGUCAGAUCCCUACGCCAAGGUGAGCAUCGGCCUACAGCAUUUCCGGAGUAGGACCAUCUACAGGAACCUGAACCCCACCUGGAACGAAGUGUUUGAGUUCAUGGUGUACGAAGUCCCUGGACAGGACCUGGAGGUAGACCUGUAUGAUGAGGAUACCGACAGGGAUGACUUCCUGGGCAGCCUGCAGAUCUGCCUUGGAGAUGUCAUGACCAACAGAGUGGUAGAUGAGUGGUUUGUCCUGAAUGACACAACCAGUGGGCGGCUGCACCUGCGGCUGGAGUGGCUUUCAUUGCUUACUGACCAAGAAGCUCUGACUGAGGACCAUGGUGGCCUUUCCACUGCCAUUCUCGUGGUCUUCUUGGAGAGUGCCUGCAACUUGCCGAGAAACCCUUUUGACUACCUGAAUGGUGAAUAUCGAGCCAAAAAACUCUCCAGGUUUGCCAGAAACAAGGUCAGCAAAGACCCUUCUUCCUAUGUCAAACUAUCUGUAGGCAAGAAGACACAUACAAGUAAGACCUGUCCCCACAACAAGGACCCUGUGUGGAGCCAGGUGUUCUCCUUCUUUGUGCACAAUGUGGCCACUGAGCAGCUCCAUCUGAAGGUUUGCUGGAAGAAGGGCUCUUGAAACCAGAGUUAAGAGGUUUCUAAGCCAGGCGGGCUGGGAAGCUUGAAGUGCACCUUGAGCAGGUUCUCCUGGCAGUGUUUAAAGUCAGCCCCUUGUAUGUGAGAGAGAACACUGAGGCCCCACAAGGCCUCAUCUCCUUAAGGCUAGUGCCUGAGGUCAUUGUAUAGGGGGAUGUGGGAGGAUAAAUCCUCAAGUCCCUUGACUUUCCCUGCAAAGGGGUCUUUAUAUUUGCUACACAGUACCCAGAGUAGCCUAUCUACACAGGACAUUAAUAAUGGUACACUUUAAAAUAUAUAUAUUUCAUUUAAUCUUCACAAAAGAUCUGUAGAGUAAGCAAAGAGAGGCAAAAACAAUGUUUUGUCCAAGAUCUCAUGACCAACAAGUGGUGGAGCUGGGAUCUUUUGGGGCCCUGAGCCCUGCCUGGAGAGCAGCACAGCUCAUCAAUCCCCAAAGCCCCCUGGCUCUGGGCAUUUAACAGACUAGCUCAUACAGAUCAUAAUUGCCUCUACUCUGAGUCACUGUCUUCCCUGACAGAAGACAAGGACCAGGUCUGGCCUGAUCCCUUUCUAGUUUACAGAAUAGGACCAGAUGUCCAUAGAAGCACAGUACAGACUGAAGUAAACCCAAACUCGGCUGGGGCUCAGAUACUAGUAGUGGAGUGGUGGGGCUUGGUUAUCCUCUUGUUUUGUGACUGGACCACUGCCCAGGUGCUUGAUGAUGACCAGGAGUGUGCUCUGGGAAUGCUGGAGGUCCCCCUGUGCCAGAUCCUCCCCUAUGCUGACCUCACUCUUGAGCAGCGCUUUCAGCUGGACCACUCAGGCCUGGACAGCCUCAUCUCCAUGAGGCUGGUGCUUCGGUUCUUGCAAGUGGAGGAACGAGAGCUGGGGAGCCCAUACACUGGACCUGAAGCCCUAAAGAAAGGCCCUCUGCUCAUCAAGAAAGUGGCUACCAACCAGGGUCCCAAAGCCCAACCUCAGGAAGAAGGCCCUACAGAUUUGCCAUGUCCCCCAGACCCUGCUUUUGAUACUAAGGACGCAUCCAGGAGUACCACAGCCACCACCAGUGCUACCACCGUUGCCACUGAACCCACACCCCAAGAGACAGGCCCAGAGCCUAAAGGCAAGGACAGUGCCAAAAGGUUCUGUGAGCCCAUGGGGGAGAAGAAGAGUCCAGCCACCAUCUUCCUGACUGUCCCAGGUCCCCACUCUCCAGGGCCCAUCAAGUCACCCAGACCCAUGAAAUGCCCUGCCUCCCCAUUCGCAUGGCCGCCCAAGAGGCUGGCUCCCAGCAUGUCCUCGCUCAACUCCUUGGCCUCUUCUUGCUUUGACCUGGCAGAUAUCAGCCUCAACAUUGAGUAUGCACCUCUCUGCUUAAUCUUUUCUAAAAUCGCCUGUAUGAAAAAUACCUCGCUGGAUGGAAAAGUAGAUAUGAACUUACAUUUCUGUGCAAGUUGUUUUUUCACAAAAUAUCUUCCUAAGAGGCAGCAUGGUGUGGUAGAAAGAACACAGGACAAGGGAGAGAGAGCCAAACAGGCUGUUUAUGGCUCUAGCUGCGUACUGACUAUAAAAUAGAUGCUGGACUCUGGUUGAGGUGGGGACCUCAGGCGACGGCAGCUGGGCGAGAUUCAGCUCACAGUGCGCUAUGUGUGUCUGCGGCGCUGCCUCAGUGUGCUAAUCAAUGGCUGCAGAAACCUAACACCAUGUACCAGCAGUGGAGCUGAUCCCUACGUCCGUGUCUACUUGUUGCCAGAAAGGAAGUGGGCAUGUCGUAAGAAGACUUCAGUGAAGCGGAAGACCUUGGAACCCCUGUUUGAUGAGACAUUUGAAUUUUUUGUUCCCAUGGAAGAAGUAAAGAAGAGGUCACUAGACGUUGCAGUGAAAAAUAGUAGGCCACUUGGCUCACACAGAAGAAAGGAGUUAGGAAAAGUACUGAUUGACUUAUCAAAAGAAGAUCUGAUUAAGGGCUUUUCACAAUGGUAUGAGCUGACUCCAAAUGGACAGCCCAGAAGCUGAUGAUGAGAAUCCUUAUCACUCACCUUUAUAUUAAAAUGUAUAUAUAUGUAUAUAUUUUUUCCUUUGGAUCACUUACAUCAAAUAUAUGUAUAUUUUGUCAUUUAAAUCAGAACCACCACUUGAAAUUAUAUACAUAUAAUUCUUGUGUGGAAUUUAACUCCAUGACUGAAUAGCAUAAGGAAGAGGUUAUUUAAAAGCAAGAACUA